GGAAAAGAUGAUGAGUUCAUGUUAUUCGGUAUUCCCUUUGUUGGUCGUCCUAAUGCUCCUCUCCUUUUCAUAUGGAGGGGGAUAUGAGAAUUACAACCAACCAGGUAUUUGCAAAGACAGAUUUGAUUUAUUUAUGGAACCAAGAUGUGAGAAUGGUGCUUGCAAAACCUUGUGUUUCAGGAAGAACUUUGGUAGGCUCUAUGCUUCAAGAUGUGUGGAUGAUACUAGUUGCGAAUGUACCUAUAUGUGCCCUCGGCAUCACUAGUUGCGAAUGUACCUUUGCUAUGUAGAGGAGUCGCUAUUUUAUUUCCUUAUUAUCUUCAUUUCAACAGCUAGAGUAUUUUGUUUACAGAUGAAAGUGGAUUAGAUCUGAUCCCCUUGUAUGGAAGGGAAAUCACAUGGAAACUCAAAAAUUGCUUUACGUAGCCGACAUGGAAACUCAAAAAUUGCUUUAAGUAGCCGUUUGAGAUUUUUAUAUAUAUAUAUAUACUCUUGGUUUUCAUUUCUAAUU